rnacentral:rRNA from 1 species
UACGAAGGGGGCUAGCGUUGUUCGGAAUUACUGGGCGUAAAGCGCACGUAGGCGGAUUGUUAAGUCAGAGGUGAAAUCCCGGAGCUCAACUUCGGAACUGCCUUUGAUACUGGCAAUCUCGAGUCCGGAAGAGGUUAAUGGAAUUCCCAGUGUAGAGGUGAAAUUCGUAGAUAUUGGGAAGAACACCAGUGGCGAAGGCGGCUCACUGGCCCGGUACUGACGCUGAGAUACGAAAGCGUGGGGAGCAAACAGG